CAGCCGCCGCGGGAAUACGAAGGGUGCAAGCGUUACUCGGAAUUACUGGGCGUAAAGCGUGUGUAGGUGGUUGUUUAAGUCUGUCGUGAAAGCCCUGGGCUCAACCUGGGAAUUGCGAUGGAUACUGGGCGACUAGAGUGCGGUAGAGGAUAGUGGAAUUUCCGGUGUAGCAGUGAAAUGCGUAGAGAUCGGAAGGAACAUCUGUGGCGAAGGCGACUAUCUGGGCCAACACUGACACUGAGACACGAAAGCGUGGGGAGCAAACAGGAUUAGAGACCCCUGUAGUCCCUGUCUCUUAUAC
rnacentral:rRNA from 1 species